rnacentral:lncRNA from 1 species
AAUAAACUAUUAUUUACUUUAGAAAAUGAACGCAAAAAGCUUAGAUAUGGAGUGGCCUAGCUACCCCACGUUUGGUUCCUUAUAGCUUAGAAUUUUUAGAGAAACCCCAUUCAUCCUCAAAAGGCAAAGCAGCUAACAGAUGAAGGACCACCGCAUUAUUGCUUACACCUUUUACACCAAAUCUCCCACCUUCAUUAUCCUCCAAUCAUUUUACCCCUUAGAAUUGCAAUGCAAUGCAAAGGGUAAAUGAGGGUAAAUGAAAACCAGAUGAAAACAUGCUGUUGUUUUUCUCUUGAAUAUUAUGUGAUAAUGUUCUUUAUUUAGUUUCCUCUUAAAACUUCUCACAUGGAGAUGAUUUUUCAACUACCCUUGUUCCAAUGCUAUAUUCGCCCUAUAUGAACAAAAGAAAGCAUGCAAAGCGUCAGGUUGGUUACCUUACAGGACAAUCUUAGUUACAAUUUAAGCAAUGAAUCAAGUGCUAAAUAGAAAGGUUAGUUAGAUAGUAAAACUAUUCCAAAGCAGCAAUAGUCAAUAUUCUAAGGAAAGAAAAAAACCAGUGAAACGAAUAUCUCACGAGAUAUGAAGGUGAUUUGUCCUUUGCAACUUUGCCUUAUCAUCACGCACUAUAAAUCAACAGCCCAACUCUCUUUUCAUUAAUUGGAGGUUACGAACUUGCAACAAAUAGGCACCUUAUUUGCUCCUUCAGAAACCGAUACCCUCAC